rnacentral:lncRNA from 1 species
UCCCACUCGACUUCCAGCUUCAAUUCCAAACGAAUCUUAGAGCCCGUAACUCCUCUCUCUCUCUUUCACACACACACACACACCUAUACAUACAAACAUCUCUCCGUUUAUACAUAAUGAAGUAAUUAAUUUAGUGCAUUUAUCAAGUUCGUAUCAUGUACUUUUUAAUUUGCUAUUGGUUGUUCGACUGAAAUUAUCGUUCUAUUUUCGAGUUGGUUUGAAGAACUUUGAUUGUUAAUUUUGUGUAGAUCUUAAUUUUUUUUCUUUGGUUGUGGCUUUUGGAUAGAUCGGCAUAAAAAUGGCGACGUUUGAGUUGUACAGGAGAUCGACGAUUGGCCUGUGCCUGACGGAGACACUUGACGAGAUGGUUUCAAGUGGUGUUCUUAGCCCUGAGCUUGCCAUUCAAGUCCUUGUUCAAUUUGACAAGGUCACAGCCUCUUAUUUGAUGAAUGUGUGCCUGUUUGUCUGCU